AUACAAAAUUAAUCGUGCGGAUUAAUCAUCCAGGACUAUAAAACCGUGUUGUUUAUAUCGAGUCUUUUUCGGUAUAAGCGUCAAGUCCAUCGGAGAGAUCAAAAAUUUUGUUCAUCUUAACGCCCUUUUGUGUAGAAAGUUGAGUAAAGCGCAAGCUUUUCUUUACAUUUCAAAACUUCUACGCAAGGGCUGGUAGGACAAACAUGC
rfam:Saccharomyces kudriavzevii IFO 1802 unplaced genomic scaffold c1729, whole genome shotgun sequence.